UUUGGGCUGUGGGAGGAACCUUUUUCAUCAUGUGAUUUUAAAUUUUGUUAUAGACUGACGUUUGAUGCAAACUUAUUUCCAUCUGUAAAAAAAGACACAAGUGGUCAGCUCAGAGUUUAAAAAAAACAUCAGUGAGAUGACUUUCUGAUCUAAAGCCAAGCAAGGUUUAAAUAGAAAAUUGAGAGUUCACAGAGGCCCCUGCUUCUUUUUUCAGGGAUAUGCAUUUUGUUAUUGCAGUGGAUUUUGACCCAUCAGCAAGGGCUUAAGUCAUACAAAGCCAGAAAAAAGCCCUUCAUCGGUGAAAAGCAAAGAAGAGCCAGGUUGAAGUUUGCAAAAGACCACAGGAAUUGGACUGUAGCGGACUGGAGUAAGGUUUUUUGAUGUGGAGGCUGAAGUAUGAGAAGGAGUGCCAUCCUGCUGAAGAAUUUGCCCUCUCCUGUGGUUUGGAAUGUAAUGGGCAGCAAGAAUGUCUUGAUACCUCAGGCUGUUGAUGUUGCCAUCCACUCUGCAGAUCUCUCGCACGGUUUGGGGUUACUGAAUGUAACCCCAAACCAUGAUUUUUCCUCCACCGAACUUGACUGUUUUCUGUGUGAAUCUUCGGUCCAUGCAGGUUACAAUAGGUCUUCUGCAGUAUUUGUGACGAUUGGGAUGCAGUUUAAUAGAUGAUUCAUCGGAAAACUCAAACUUCUGCCACUUUUCCACAGUCCAUCCUUCCUGCAAGCUGUGGGCCUUGGCAAAUGCAACACGAUUUUUUAGUUGUCUUCUGUUUAAUGCUGGUUUCUGAGCACUAAUUCGGCCAUUGAGACCACUGCAUGAGAGAAUUCGACAAACUGUUCUUGUAGAUACAGGGGUUUCUGGUGACCAGUUGUUAUGUAGCUCUGCUGCAGUUGAAAAAGGGCUGGCCCUGGACUGUCAAACCAACAAACGGUCCUCUUGAACAGUUGUCUUACGGGGUCUGCCUGACCUGGGCCUGUCAUGAACUUCACCAGUUUCUUCAAAUCUUUUUCUUAUCGUCUUCACUUGACGUUUAGAUACAGUACAUUAAAGAUGUCUGCCACCUCAGCAGGAGACUUGGUCUUCAGGCUCUUGAUGAUCAGCACUUUGGUCUGUGGUUGAAUCUUUGGCAUGCUGUCAGGUCAGGAUGCAUUUCAAAUGAAGGUUGGGUGUGCUGGGGUUCUUCUUCUACACACCUGGGAAGGUGUUAAUUACAGUAUUUGUCACAGGUGACGCUCUAAUCUGUGAUUGGUUGAAUCCUUUAAAGAUGUGACAAGACUUUUGUCUAAGUAAAGUCUGACCUUUCUGUCCUAAUUAAAUAAUUAAAAAUCACGGCAUGAUAAGAUUUUAUUUUGGUAAAAUAAGCGUAAUCUAGAGGCCUUUGCCUUUCAUAUAAGCCACUUCUGAUUCCAAAUGAUCAACUAGAAGUCAAGUUAUUAUUUGUUGUUCCUACAACUUGGAUAGGCGACAAGACUUUUGUCAGGGUGUGUAUACACUAUAUUUGCUGCGUCUCAUUUUGGAUUCUGUGCCCUCCGGAGACUGCAGUUUGCUGCAUGCAUAAUCAAGGAUGUCUUUUUUGAGAAAAGUAACCGUAAUAAAAUUGACUAUUUCUUGUGAGGUGUGAAAUACUGUAGACUAGUUUCUUUUUUAAUUUGUUAUUUAACAGUUGAUUAGUAUCUAUUGCCGUGGCGUCCAGGGGAGAUUCUAGAAUUUUGAUAUAAGGGGGGGCUCAGCCCCCAAUGAGGGUAUAAUAGUAAAAAAUAAAUAAAGUAAACAUUUGACUAACAGGAUAGGAUGGUAAACUCAUUGCAGAAUUCCACUGUAUUGCAGUGAUGUGUAUAGAUGUGUAUAAUGUUUGAGUACUGAACAAGGCAAAUACGAGUCUUCCUGAUCACACACACACACUCUGCGAUGCUGCGGUCUGCGGAUUGAAGAACGCGCUGAAAGACGGGGAAGAGCCGAAGUCUGCCACUGUUUUCAUAUGGAAUUUAAAGGGGAUCAUAAAUUUGUGUACAGUUUAUGGAGAAUUGCAGAAUUUUAGGCUGAGUAGAAAAUGGCCCAUGGUGGCAUCAUAAUGAUGCUAUAAAGGUGGAUUAAUUCAGGAAGGACACCAGUGAAGGCCUAGGUGUGAAAUGCACAGCCUGACACUGAUGCAUAUCGCGGAUUUUCGUUUAGUGUGAGUGGUUUUGGAAUGUAACCCUCACAAUAAAUGGGGGAUUACUGUAUCAUCCUUCCCAAUGUUACCCAGUACCUCACUCUCUGUGAAGUUGAAGUCUAUGGAGGUGGAGGUUCCACUUUUAUAUUCAAUUUUAUUUAAAUUUAGAGUUUUACAGCAGAGUUUUAAAUUUUAGAGUUUUUAAUAUGUUUUACAGCAGUCGCUCAGUAUCAACAUUGUUAACUUUUUUUUUAGUCCCUGUUGCUAAGAGGUUAUUUCUGAGAUUAAUGUUUAACAGCAGCGAGGAUCUCAGAAAUGCUACUCUGAGGGACAAAGUUCUUCAAAAGGUGAGUGUUACAGUUACUGAGAAAAAAUGUGUAAUUAUAUUACAGUUACUUAUGAAAAUGUUAAAGAUUACAAAUAGGGUUACAUCUGAAUACUUUCUUUAAAAAACUAGGAUAUGUUGAAUAAUAUUAAUUUGUUGCUAGAAUUUGUUAAAGCGGUGCUAUUCUGAUGAUUUUGAUUGGUUCUCUUGUUUGAAUUUUCGGCGCACCACGUCUGCCAAUUGCAUUAAUUGCCGCUUAAAGCUUUAGGCUACUACAACCUGUCUGAGAGUUGCCACCAUGGCGAGUGAUAAAAAUGUAUUUCAGUGCUGGAAAUUUAAAAAUAAUUUAAUCCUGAAAUCCAAUAAGGGGCAAAUAUAACAGUUCAGUGCAAAAUUUGUUUGCCAGCUGUUAAAAUGCUUUCGACAUCAAAGGCUUCAAUGUUGAACCUGAGGAAGCAUCUGCAGGUAUGGAACCUAGCCUUUCAUUAUUUUAUAAUAUAUUCAAAAUAUAUAAUUUUUGUCAUUAUUGUGAGUGUACAGAAGUAAAAACAGACCCUUUAGUUUCGAAUGAUAUAUUACUCGUUUCUGUAUAAUAAAAAGUGACGGAGUAGUCAGUCGACUUACUGUAGCUGUUAUGUGGAAAAAAUCCACCAAAAUGCGCCAGCGCGUUCAUCGACCCCAUAGUGUAUUCAAGACCGGUAUUCAAAACAUUCAUAAUUAAAUUAUCUAGUUAUCUAAUCAAAUUAGCUAGUCUGCUAGCUACCUUUACCAGGCACACUUCUAUUUAUGAACCCUUUGACUUGAAAAUGUGUUGGUAAUGUCAGAUCUAAUAUAACUUAGUUAUUUUAGCAUUGUAGUGUAGCAUGCAUUAUGAUGACUCUUUUCAGAUUAUGUUUUUUUUUUUUUCAAGGCAGUGUUAUUUGCCAGUGUGUCCUGUCAUAGCUAGGCAAAGGUUUGAUUCCUAAAACAGUAUUAAACCAUUUUUGUUAUGAAGUCUUAGAUCAAUAUAAUCUUAAUUCAAGUGAUGAAAGAUUUAAAAUUCUAACAGUAAACAGAGUUGAGUACUACUGUAAGGUUAAUCCUGCCUGGUAUAGAUGUUUGGAAAUGAGUUAGUUGAAAAUAUCCAUUAAAAACUUAAAAGUAAUCAAAAAGUAAUCAAAUGUAAUCAGUUACUUUAAUUCAAUUACUUUUUGUAAAGUAAUUGAAAAGUUACACUACUUAUUACAUUUUAAACAGGGUAAUUUGUAAUCUGUAACCUAUUACAUUUCCAAAGCUAUCUAUCUAUCUAUCUAUCUAUCUAUCUAUCUAUCUAUCUAUCUAUCUAUCUAUCUAUCUAUCUAUCUAUCUAUCUAUCUAUCCAUCUGCCAUCAGGAAGAAGUUAAAAAUGAAACUGUCCAUGUAAAAUUUCGGUGCCUUUCUCCAUGUUUGUUUAUCUUCCAGUUCUAUUUCUUCUUUAUUUCAUUGAAUACAAAAAGUAUACGGUAAAACUGAUUUCUGUGUCUGUGCCUUAUUCAAGCAGUUAGUGACUAAAAAUUUACCUGAGAAAAAAAAAAGGUUGCAGGAAAAAAGUUUAGCAUUUAGAUACAGAGAUCAAUUUCUCCACAGUACAUAAAGUGUGUGUGUGUGUAUGAAAUGGAAAACAUGGUUGAACAGUGUGUUGUUUAUACACUUUAGUGGUGAAACGCUGCAGUUGCCUCUAUAGGGACACCGUUUUAAAUGCUGAGGACAGGACAUGACAGUCCGUUUGCCAGGUUUGCCAAUUUUAACUGAUUUAUUUAUUUUACCUGAGUGAUAUGACUCUCGGGCAGCACGGUGGCUUAAAGGUCCUUGGUUCAAUUCCUGGGUUCGAACAGGCAGGGGCCUUUCUGUGUGGAGCUUGCAUGUUCUCCACGUGCCUGUGUGGGUUUCCUUCCACAGUCCAAAAACAUGUACAUUAGGUUGAUUGGUAAUUCUAAAUUGCCCAUAGGAGUGAGUGUGGUUGUCUGUCUAUAUGUGGCCCUGCGAUGGACUGGGUGUACCUUUUGCCCAAUGUGCGCUGGGACACAAGCAGUUAGUGCUAACUGCAGCAGAUCCCUGUGACCCUAAUUAGGAAUAAAGUGGGUAUAGAAAAUGGAUGGAUGGAUAUGACGGUCAAGAUUUUUGUCAUUCUGACUCGCAGUAGGUAGAGAUGCCUUAAGCACAACUUUUUGAGAAGAAGAAGAAAAUACACAUAACAAACAAAAGAGUGAGGAUUGGGUGUAGCAUGUGGAACUACUUAUUAGCUGAUUAUAUACUGUAUACUUAAAGUUUAGAAUUAAAGUUUAUUUUUUAAAAUGUAUUUAUAAAAGAUUAUUUUUUAUUCCUAUAUACCAUGUGAUGGAUUGGUGUAUUUAAAAUAUUAUCUUA